rnacentral:rRNA from 1 species
CCUACAUGAAGCCGGAAUUGCUAGUAAUGGCAGGUCAGCAUACUGCCGUGAAUACGUUCCCGGGCCCUUGUACACACCGCCCGUCACACCAUGAGAGUUGGGGAUACCCGAAGCCUGUGAGCCAACUAUAUAGAGGCAGCAGUCGAAGGUAGAAUCAAUGAUUGGGGUGAAGUCGUAACAAGGUAUC